rnacentral:rRNA from 1 species
GUAGGGAAUUUUCGGCAAUGGGGGGAACCCUGACCGAGCAACGCCGCGUGAGUGAAGAAGGAUUUCGGUCUGUAAAGCUCUGUUGUAAGGGAAGAACGACUAAGGAGAACCUUAGAGUGACGAUACCUUACGAGGAAGCCACGGCUAACUACGUGCCAGCAGCCGCGGUAAUACGUAGGUGGCGAGCGUUAUCCGGAAUUAUUGGGCGUAAAGGGUGCGCAGGCAGUCUGUUAAGUUCAUGGUGAAAGCGUGGGGCUCAACCCCAUAUAGCCAUGGAUACUGGCAGGCUAGAGUACUGGAGAGGGAAGCGGAAUUCCAUGUGUAGCGGUAAAAUGCGUAGAUAUAUGGAGGAACACCGGAGGCGAAGGCGGCUUCCUGGACAGUAACUGACGCUGAGGCACGAAAGCGUGGGGAGCAAAUAGGA